rnacentral:rRNA from 1 species
CCUGGGCGUUUCCUGACGCUGAAGCACUAAGGCCAGGGGAGCGAAGGGGAUUAGAUACCCCCGUAGUCCUGGCUUCAAACGAUGUGGGCUUGGUGUCGGCCCCCUACAGAGGGUCGUUGCCGGAGCUAACGUGUUAGGCCCACCGCCUGGGGAUUACGUCCGCAAGGAUGAAGCUCAAGGGAAUUGACGGGGGCCCACACAACCGGUGGAGCACGUGGUUUAAUUCGAUGAUAAGCGAAGAACCUUACCAGGGCUUGACCUAGCGGUAGUAGGAUCCUGAAAGGGAAACGACCUCAAGCUUUGCUUGAGGAGCCGUGGCAGGUAUUGCAUGGCUGUCGUCAGCUCGUGUCGUGGGACGUUGGGUUAAGUCCCGUAACGAGCGCAACCCCUGCUCUUAAUUGCCAGCGGGUAAUGCCGGGUACUAUAAGGGGACUGCCGGAGAAUAUCCGGAGGAAGGAGGGGAUGACGUCAAGUCAUUAUGAUCCUUAUGCUCUGGGCGACACACGUGCUACAAUGGGCACUACAAUGAGGAGCAAGUCCGCAAGGACGAGCAAAUCUCAAAAAGGUGCCCCCAGUGCGGAUUGGGGUCUGCAACCCGACCCCAUGAAGAUGGAAUCGGUAGUAAUCGCGGGUCAGCCAUACCGCGGUGAAUAUGUACUUGGGCCUUGUACACACCGCCCGUCACACCAAUCGAGUAGGCGACACCCGAAGUCGACGUAUGUUGCCGAA